rnacentral:rRNA from 1 species
GCUUAAAGGGGCCGUAGCUUGAUAAUAGGGUCCCUUGAGAAAUCCGCCGGCUUAACUGGCGGGCGUUCAGGGGAAACUUGUUUUCUAGGGACCGGGAGAGGUGAGGGGUACUGCCGGGGUAGGAGUGAAAUCCUGUAAUCCCGGUGGGACCACCUAUGGCGAAGGCAUCUCACCAGAACGGGUCCGACAGUGAGGGACGAAAGCUGGGGGAGCAAACCGGAUUAGAUACCCGGGUAGUCCCAGCUGUAAACUAUGUGCGUUAGGUGUGUCAGUGACCACGUGUCACUGAGGUGCCGAAGGGAAACCGUGAAACGCACCGCCUGGGGAGUACGGUCGCAAGGCUGAAACUUAAAGGAAUUGGCGGGGGAGCACCACAACGGGUGGAGCCUGCGGUUUAAUCGGACUCAACGCCGGGAAUCUCACCGGAUAAGACAGCUGAAUGAUAGUCGGGAUGAAGACUCUACUUGACUAGCUGAGAGGAGGUGCAUGGCCGUCGUCAGUUCGUACUGUGAAGCAUCCUGUUUAGUCAGGCAACGAGCGAGACCCACGCGAGCAGUUGCCAGCUUGACCUUCGGGUUGAUGGGGACACUGCUCGGACCGCCUCUGCUAAAGGGGAGGAAGGACUGGGCAACGGUAGGUCAGCAUGCCCCGAAUUAUCCGGGCUACACGCAGGCUACAAUGGACAGGACAAUGAGUUUCGACACCGAGAGGUGAGGAUAAUCUUCUAACCCUGUCCCAAGUUCGGAUUGCGGGUUGUAACUCACCCGCAUGAAGCUGGAAUCCGUAGUAAUCGCGUUUCAACAUACCGCGGUGAAUAUGUCCCUGCUCCUUGCACACACCGCCCGUAA